rnacentral:rRNA from 1 species
CCUANGGGAGGCUGCAGUUGGGAAUCUUGCGCAAUGGGGGAAACCCUGACGCAGCGACGCCGCGUGAAGGAUGACGGCCUUCGGGUUGUAAACUUCUGUUCCCAGGGACGAUAAUGACGGUACCUGGGGAGCAAGCCCCGGCUAACUCCGUGCCAGCAGCCGCGGUAAGACGGAGGGGGCGAGCGUUGUCCGGAAUUACUGGGCGUAAAGCGCACGUAGGCGGUCGUGUACGGCGGUGGUGAAAGCUCCCGGCUCAACUGGGAGAGGCCCAUCGCAACGGCGCGACUCGAGGGUGGUAGAGGCGGAUGGAAUUCCUGGUGUAGCGGUGAAAUGCGUAGAGAUCAGGAGGAACACCCGUGGCGAAGGCGGUCCGCUGGGCCAUGCCUGACGCUGAGGUGCGAAAGCCAGGGGAGCGAACGGGAUUAGAUACCCCGNUANUC